GCCAGACUCCUACGGGAGGCAGCAGUGGGGAAUAUUGCACAAUGGGGGGAACCCUGAUGCAGCGACGCCGCGUGGGUGAAGGAGCGUUUCGGCGCGUAAAGCCCUCUCGGCAGGGAAGAAGGAGGACGGUACCUGACUAAGAAGCCCCGGCUAACUACGUGCCAGCAGCCGCGGUAAUACGUAGGGGGCAAGCGUUAUCCGGAUUUACUGGGUGUAAAGGGGGCGCAGACGGCAGCGCAAGCCAGGAGUGAAAGCCCGGGGCCCAACCCCGGGACUGCUCUUGGAACUGCGCGGCUGGAGUGCAGGAGGGGCAGGCGGAAUUCCUGGUGUAGCGGUGAAAUGCGUAGAUAUCAGGAGGAACACCGGUGGCGAAGGCGGCCUGCUGGACUGCGACUGACGUUGAGGCCCGAAAGCGUGGGGAGCAAACAGGAUUAGAUACCCCCGUA
rnacentral:rRNA from 1 species